rnacentral:rRNA from 1 species
ACUCUAAGCGGUGGAUCACUCGGCUCAUGGGUCGAUGAAGAACGCAGCAAACUGUGCGUCAUCGUGUGAACUGCAGGACACAUGAACAUCGACAUUUUGAACGCAUAUCGCAGUCCAUGCUGUUAUGUACUUUAAUUAAUUUUAUAGUGCUGCUUGGACUACAUAUGGUUGAGGGUUGUAAGACUAUGCUAAUUAAGUUGCUUAUAAAUUUUUAUAAGCAUAUGGUAUAUUAUUGGAUAAAUAUAAUAAUUUUUAUUCAUAAUAUUAAAAAAUAAAUGAAAAACAUUAUCUCACAUUUGAAUGUGAAAAACGAAGAGAAAUAUUUUCUUUUUCAAUCAAAUAAUACUGAGAAAUGUCUAGCAUAAAAAAUUGAAAUAUUUUUCAUCUAGAAUUGUCUCUUAUUAAUGAUUCGGAAAUAGAAAAAUCUUGGUUAUGUUAUUAUUCUUCGUUGGUUCGUUAAAAAUGGAUAAAUAAAAACUUUGCAUACAAGAAUUAAUAAAAAUGUUAUAACGAAUUUAAUUAAAUGUUUUAUCAUUAUAUAUAAAGAAUUUAUGGCAAGAUAAAGUUAUAUACAACCUCAACUCAUAUGGGACUACCCCCUGAAUUUAAGCAUAUUAAUUAGGGGAGGAAAAGAAACUAACAAGGAUUUUCUUAGUAGCGGCGAGCGAAAAGAAAACAGUUCAGCACUAAGUCACUUUGUCUAUAUGGCAAAUGUGAGAUGCAGUGUAUGGAGCGUCAAUAUUCUAGUAUGAGAAAUUAACGAUUUAAGUCCUUCUUAAAUGAGGCCAUUUACCCAUAGAGGGUGCCAGGCCCGUAUAACGUUAAUGAUUACUAGAUGAUGUUUCCAAAGAGUCGUGUUGCUUGAUAGUGCAGCACUAAGUGGGUGGUAAACUCCAUCUAAAACUAAAUAUAACCAUGAGACCGAUAGUAAACAAGUACCGUGAGGGAAAGUUGAAAAGAACUCUGAAUAGAGAGUUAAACAGUACGUGAAACUGCUUAGAGGUUAAGCCCGAUGAACCUGAAUAUCCGUUAUGGAAAAUUCAUCAUUAAAAUUGUAAUAUUUAAAUAAUAUUAUGAGAAUAGUGUGCAUUUUUUCCAUAUAAGGACAUUGUAAUCUAUUAGCAUAUACCAAAUUUAUCAUAAAAUAUAACUUAUAGUUUAUUCCAAUUAAAUUGCUUGCAUUUUAACACAGAAUAAAUGUUAUUAAUUUGAUAAAGUGCUGAUAGAUUUAUAUGAUUACAGUGCGUUAAUUUUUCGGAAUUAUAUAAUGGCAUAAUUAUCAUUGAUUUUUGUGUUUAUUAUAUGCACUUGUAUGAUUAACAAUGCGAAAGAUUCAGGAUACCUUCGGGACCCGUCUUGAAACACGGACCAAGGAGUCUAACAUAUGUGCAAGUUAUUGGGAUAUAAACCUAAUAGCGUAAUUAACUUGACUAAUAAUGGGAUUAGUUUUUUAGCUAUUUAUAGCUAAUUAACACAAUCCCGGGGCGUUCUAUAUAGUUAUGUAUAAUGUAUAUUUAUAUUAUUUAUGCCUCUAACUGGAACGUACCUUGAGCAUAUAUGCUGUGACCCGAAAGAUGGUGAACUAUACUUGAUCAGGUUGAAGUCAGGGGAAACCCUGAUGGAAGACCGAAACAGUUCUGACGUGCAAAUCGAUUGUCAGAAUUGAGUAUAGGGGCGAAAGACCAAUCGAACCAUCUAGUAGCUGGUUCCUUCCGAAGUUUCCCUCAGGAUAGCUGGUGCAUUUUAAUAUUAUAUAAAAUAAUCUUAUCUGGUAAAGCGAAUGAUUAGAGGCCUUAGGGUCGAAACGAUCUUAACCUAUUCUCAAACUUUAAAUGGGUAAGAACCUUAACUUUCUUGAUAUGAAGUUCAAGGUUAUGAUAUAAUGUGCCCAGUGGGCCACUUUUGGUAAGCAGAACUGGCGCUGUGGGAUGAACCAAACGUAAUGUUACGGUGCCCAAAUUAACAACUCAUGCAGAUACCAUGAAAGGCGUUGGUUGCUUAAAACAGCAGGACGGUGAUCAUGGAAGUCGAAAUCCGCUAAGGAGUGUGUAACAACUCACCUGCCGAAGCAACUAGCCCUUAAAAUGGAUGGCGCUUAAGUUGUAUACCUAUACAUUACCGCUAAAGUAGAUGAUUUAUAUUACUUGUGAUAUAAAUUUUGAAACUUUAGUGAGUAGGAAGGUACAAUGGUAUGCGUAGAAGUGUUUGGCGUAAGCCUGCAUGGAGCUGCCAUUGGUACAGAUCUUGGUGUAGUAGCAAAUAAUCGAAUGAGACCUUGGAGGACUGAAGUGGAGAAGGGUUUCGUGUGAACAGUGGUUGAUCACGAGUUAGUCGGUCCUAAGUUCAAGGCGAAAGCCGAAAAUUUUCAAGUAAAACAAAAAUGCCUAACUAUAUAAACAAAGCGAAUUAUAAUACACUUGAAUAAUUUUGAACGAAAGGGAAUACGGUUCCAAUUCCGUAACCUGUUGAGUAUCCGUUUGUUAUUAAAUAUGGGCCUCGUGCUCAUCCUGGCAACAGGAACGACCAUAAAGAAGCCGUCGAGAGAUAUCGGAAGAGUUUUCUUUUCUGUUUUAUAGCCGUACUACCAUGGAAGUCUUUCGCAGAGAGAUAUGGUAGAUGGGCUAGAAGAGCAUGACAUAUACUGUUGUGUCGAUAUUUUCUCCUCGGACCUUGAAAAUUUAUGGUGGGGACACGCAAACUUCUCAACAGGCCGUACCAAUAUCCGCAGCUGGUCUCCAAGGUGAAGAGUCUCUAGUCGAUAGAAUAAUGUAGGUAAGGGAAGUCGGCAAAUUAGAUCCGUAACUUCGGGAUAAGGAUUGGCUCUGAAGAUUGAGAUAGUCGGGCUUGAUUGGGAAACAAUAACAUGGUUUAUGUGCUCGUUCUGGGUAAAUAGAGUUUCUAGCAUUUAUGUUAGUUACUUGUUCCCCGGAUAGUUUAGUUACGUAGCCAAUUGUGGAACUUUCUUGCUAAAAUUUUUAAGAAUACUAUUUGGGUUAAACCAAUUAGUUCUUAUUAAUUAUAACGAUUAUCAAUUAACAAUCAAUUCAGAACUGGCACGGACUUGGGGAAUCCGACUGUCUAAUUAAAACAAAGCAUUGUGAUGGCCCUAGCGGGUGUUGACACAAUGUGAUUUCUGCCCAGUGCUCUGAAUGUCAAAGUGAAGAAAUUCAAGUAAGCGCGGCGUCAACGGCGGGAGUAACUAUGACUCUCUUAAGGUAGCCAAAUGCCUCGUCAUCUAAUUAGUGACGCGAUGAAUGGAUUAACGAGUACUUAACAUUCCUACAUGUCCCUAUCUACUAUCUAGCGAAACCACAGCCAAGGGAACGGGCUUGGAAUAAUUAGCGGGGAAAGAAGACCCUUUUGAGCUUGACUCUAAUCUGGCAGUGUAAGGAGACAUAAGAGGUGUAGAAUAAGUGGGAGAUAUUAGACCUCGGUUUGGUAUCGUCAAUGAAAUACCACUACUCUUAUUGUUUCCUUACUUACUUGAUUAAAUGGAACGUGUAUCAUUUCCUAGCCAUUAUACGGAU